rnacentral:rRNA from 1 species
AGGACGAACGCUGGCGGCGUGCUUAACACAUGCAAGUCGAGCGGUAAGGCCUUUCGGGGUACACGAGCGGCGAACGGGUGAGUAACACGUGGGUGAUCUGCCCUGCACUCUGGGAUAAGCUUGGGAAACUGGGUCUAAUACCGGAUAUGACCGCGCUACGCAUGUGGUGUGGUGGAAAGUUCUGGCGGUGGAGGAUGAGCUCGCGGCCUAUCAGCUUGUUGGUGGGGUAAUGGCCUACCAAGGCUUCGACGGGUAGCCGGCCUGAGAGGGUGACCGGCCACACUGGGACUGAGACACGGCCCAGACUCCUACGGGAGCAGCAGUGGGGAAUAUUGGACAAUGGGCGAAAGCCUGAUCCAGCAACGCCGCGUGAGGAUGACGGCCUUGGGUUGUAAACCUCUUUCGAGCGCCGAGAAGCGAGAGUGACGGUGGCGCAGAAGAAGCACCGGCCAACUACGUGCCAGCACGCCGCGGUAACUCGUAGAGGCGGCGUGGACCG